UCCAACACAGUCAAUUGCAGAGAGGUUUCAGAUCUGUGUGCAUGUACACUUUUGAACAAGUUCAGUUGGUUUAUUUGCAGAAAGAUGCUCCAAUCUACAAAUGGGGCAAUUUCCAUUUGAGUCGGAAACAGUUAUAUAGAAAUUACCAUAAUUGAGUCCAUUCACUCUAUAGGCAGAACCUAUCCAUCUCAAAUUAAGUGUUCAAGUUUCUUCUCUAUUUUAUUUCUAUAUUUAGUUUAUUUCCUUCCAAAGAUGUGUAACCAAAUAUAAAGAGGGAAAGAAAGAUAUUUCUCUUCUAUGUGCAUUUUAUCGACACAGUCUCAGCUCGAGUCUCCUUGGGGAAAGCCUUUCAAGACAGGCAGAAUGAUGUCCUUCCUGCCACAACAUAAUUUUCCAGCUGCCAGGGGAAAACUACAUAUUGUGCCCUAAACAACAACCAAGAGAGAACAGAUAAUAAUCACUCCCCAAGGACACCUGCUGCAGCUUCCCUCAGCAAGGCCUGUAGAAACGGUCCUGAAGUUACACUUCGCUCUGUAUUUUAACAGACACACGACGGAUUCCUGUCCUUACUGGAAUGACUGCCCUGCUUUUUUGCAGGUCAAGAAUAAUUCUGGAAGAAUUACCGUCAAAUAAAAAAAUCAUCAAUGGCUUCAUAUCUUGUUCUGGUGCUAUUAAUGUAAGAGACAUAAUUUAUUAUCCUGAAAUGCUGAAAUUUGAUCUAAAUGGGUCCCUAGAUGGAUGGAUGAGUCAAAUCAAAGAGGAGGAAAGAAACCAAACAGUUGCUGAACAGUGUUGGAAAGUUCCAUGGAACGGUUUGUGUUUUUCAUUAAUCACCAGUUACAGGGGUCGCCCACAGACAUGGCAGUUCUGGAGAUAUGCUGGCUCCCUUGCCCAGAUCUGAAACACACCAGGGGGUGCCUGACUCGGAAGUUUAUAUUCUACGAAAUGUGCUUCUGCAUGGACUGAACAACUGCUUGGCACCCACUUUUCACAUGUGGGGUAUAAAUUACUGCCCUGCCAAAGACAUCCUUUAGGCAUAAUGGCAGUUUCGGCUCUUGCCUGGGUCCUCCCACUCUAGACAUGCACUGGCGAGACCUCUGCAGAUUUUCCAAGCAUCUUAAACGAAGGAAAUUCCAGCUCACCAUGUGAAAUCCUCUUGAAGAGACAAGGAAAUAUGGCCCAAGCUGGUGCUGAAAUUAUUCAUCGAAGAAGAUAAAAUUACAGGCUGUAAGGGCUGAAGAAAUCUUGGUGAGAGUUUACACAACUUCUCCCUUUCUGUGGAUGAGGCAAAUUAGGCCUCGGCAAGAUGAACAGAAAUCAGGCUUUAAUUUGUGACUCUGGCAUGAGUCUGCCGGCUCCCCCACUCCAGCAACUGAAAGCAAUAAUGAACUUGAUUUCAUUCACAGAGGCACAAAAUAAAGUCCCUUUAGGCUGCGAUGGCCCUGUUCAUACUCAGCAAAUGCUGGUGCCUAUGUGGGGGCUGCCUGUUCACCAGCUGUACUUAAGGUACCGCGUGUAUCUUCCGGUAAAUCAGAAAUAGUCUGUGUUAUAUGUGGGGGCAGAUUUCACCUACUAGCAUAAAACACUAUCAUAAAUUUCCAAUUCACCCCCCUCCACAGCCCGGAGACAUUCCAUUCUGCAUGUCGCAGGCAACUGCUCGCAAGAAACAUGCACCAUGUGAAAAAGUAAUUACUGCCUUGCCCAAGGAAUGAAACCGAUUCUACCAGCAUGUCUAAGCUUUUACAGAUAACAAGAGAGCAACGCCUUGGCUUACUAAGAGUGCUGCAGUCUUUUUUUUUUUUUUUUUAACCUUUUGAAAAUUCAUCCUUGUCUAAUGAUUAAGUAUGGAAAAAAGUGAGUUAAGUACCGCCUGACAGUUUGCUCAAUAGACGCUCUGUAAUAUCACCUCUCCUGGUCUUCUUUGAUAGAGAACCAGCCAGCUGUAUCGACGGCUCUCUCCCCUCUUUAAUAAGUUGUAAAUUGAGCAACAUAAUUCUUCCCAUGUCCAAGGCUAGUCAGCCCAAAUGCUGUGUUCAGAAACUGGCUGGCUCUAUGUUAUAACCUGUCUGUCAUCACUUUCUUUCAUUAUAGUUCCGUGGUUGCUCUGGGGAGACUUGACCCAUUCACCAGCGAUUCACUUAAUUCGGGUACAUGCUACGUGUCAUUGUGUGUGCGCCAGACGGCAAUGCCACAUUCCCCGACUGUCCUGAGAUGAUCACUGAGCCUGUGAAAGGAUCGGUUUGGGGCUGUGCCCAGGCUCCUUCGACAAGCUCUCUCUUUGUGCAGUUGAUGAGAUUGAUCAAAUCUAUCAGUGUUUGGCCCUUGUGCUGUUAGUUCCCAGAGAUGGCCUAUCCCUGAGUUUUGCAGUUUAGCCUCCUUGUCCUUGCGAAUACAUCUGAAAGGAACGCUGCUAAGUCCAGCGAAAGAAGUCUUUCCAGUGGCUUAUCCGCUAUGAAAGCUGUUCCGAAAUAAAACGGAGAACCUCUUAAAGAGAGGCUGCUGGUCAUGGUACUGGUCUAAAGAGAACGAUUUCCGCGCCAACCUGAAGGUUGAAAUAUAUCCCAAAACUCCUUCAGAAGCUAAGAUUUGUUGAAACUGUACUCAUUUCGUUCAAUGUAGGGGAACCGAGGGAAGCCUAAUAAUAUACAUGGAAGGUUUUUGUUUUAUGAUCUUUAUUAUUAGUUUUACUCAAAACAGUAAAAAUGUUCUAUCUUGGUUUUGUUGUUGACAG
rnacentral:lncRNA from 1 species